AAAGAUGAGGUGGACCAAAGCAAGUAUCCUCACAUGCCUUGAUUAUAAUAGUUUUCUUAUUUGUAAAGAAACAAAGCUACAUGAGGAGACGAUUCCUCUGCUAAUCCCUCAUCAUCAUAUGGUUAUUCCUCAUUAUAUGGGACAAAGCAGAGAAGUUGGAUUCCACACUGCAGUAGUGCAAGAUAUUGAUUGGCGUUAAUAUGACUAAAGAUUGAUAUUUGUGCAUUUGCCUUUGAUAGAACUGAUAUACGAGAAAAAGUAAUAAUUUUGUAAUUUUAUAUUUAUUUACAU